GGUUAAGCGACUAAGCGUACACGGUGGAUGCCCUGGCAGUCAGAGGCGAUGAAGGACGUGCUAAUCUGCGAUAAGCGUCGGUAAGGUGAUAUGAACCGUUAUAACCGGCGAUUUCCGAAUGGGGAAACCCAGUGUGUUUCGACACACUAUCAUUAACUGAAUCCAUAGGUUAAUGAGGCGAACCGGGGGAACUGAAACAUCUAAGUACCCCGAGGAAAAGAAAUCAACCGAGAUUCCCCCAGUAGCGGCGAGCGAACGGGGAGCAGCCCAGAGCCUGAAUCAGUGUGUGUGUUAGUGGAAGCGUCUGGAAAGGCGCGCGAUACAGGGUGACAGCCCCGUACACAAAAAUGCACAUGCUGUGAGCUCGAUGAGUAGGGCGGGACACGUGGUAUCCUGUCUGAAUAUGGGGGGACCAUCCUCCAAGGCUAAAUACUCCUGACUGACCGAUAGUGAACCAGUACCGUGAGGGAAAGGCGAAAAGAACCCCGGCGAGGGGAGUGAAAAAGAACCUGAAACCGUGUACGUACAAGCAGUGGGAGCACGCUUAGGCGUGUGACUGCGUACCUUUUGUAUAAUGGGUCAGCGACUUAUAUUCUGUAGCAAGGUUAACCGAAUAGGGGAGCCGAAGGGAAACCGAGUCUUAACUGGGCGUUAAGUUGCAGGGUAUAGACCCGAAACCCGGUGAUCUAGCCAUGGGCAGGUUGAAGGUUGGGUAACACUAACUGGAGGACCGAACCGACUAAUGUUGAAAAAUUAGCGGAUGACUUGUGGCUGGGGGUGAAAGGCCAAUCAAACCGGGAGAUAGCUGGUUCUCCCCGAAAGCUAUUUAGGUAGCGCCUCGUGAAUUCAUCUCCGGGGGUAGAGCACUGUUUCGGCAAGGGGGUCAUCCCGACUUACCAACCCGAUGCAAACUGCGAAUACCGGAGAAUGUUAUCACGGGAGACACACGGCGGGUGCUAACGUCCGUCGUGAAGAGGGAAACAACCCAGACCGCCAGCUAAGGUCCCAAAGUCAUGGUUAAGUGGGAAACGAUGUGGGAAGGCCCAGACAGCCAGGAUGUUGGCUUAGAAGCAGCCAUCAUUUAAAGAAAGCGUAAUAGCUCACUGGUCGAGUCGGCCUGCGCGGAAGAUGUAACGGGGCUAAACCAUGCACCGAAGCUGCGGCAGCGACGCUGAUGCGUUGUUGGGUAGGGGAGCGUUCUGUAAGCCUGCGAAGGUGUGCUGUGAGGCAUGCUGGAGGUAUCAGAAGUGCGAAUGCUGACAUAAGUAACGAUAAAGCGGGUGAAAAGCCCGCUCGCCGGAAGACCAAGGGUUCCUGUCCAACGUUAAUCGGGGCAGGGUGAGUCGACCCCUAAGGCGAGGCCGAAAGGCGUAGUCGAUGGGAAACAGGUUAAUAUUCCUGUACUUGGUGUUACUGCGAAGGGGGGACGGAGAAGGCUAUGUUGGCCGGGCGACGGUUGUCCCGGUUUAAGCGUGUAGGCUGGUUUUCCAGGCAAAUCCGGAAAAUCAAGGCUGAGGCGUGAUGACGAGGCACUACGGUGCUGAAGCAACAAAUGCCCUGCUUCCAGGAAAAGCCUCUAAGCAUCAGGUAACAUCAAAUCGUACCCCAAACCGACACAGGUGGUCAGGUAGAGAAUACCAAGGCGCUUGAGAGAACUCGGGUGAAGGAACUAGGCAAAAUGGUGCCGUAACUUCGGGAGAAGGCACGCUGAUAUGUAGGUGAAGUCCCUUGCGGAUGGAGCUGAAAUCAGUCGAAGAUACCAGCUGGCUGCAACUGUUUAUUAAAAACACAGCACUGUGCAAACACGAAAGUGGACGUAUACGGUGUGACGCCUGCCCGGUGCCGGAAGGUUAAUUGAUGGGGUCAGCGCAAGCGAAGCUCUUGAUCGAAGCCCCGGUAAACGGCGGCCGUAACUAUAACGGUCCUAAGGUAGCGAAAUUCCUUGUCGGGUAAGUUCCGACCUGCACGAAUGGCGUAAUGAUGGCCAGGCUGUCUCCACCCGAGACUCAGUGAAAUUGAACUCGCUGUGAAGAUGCAGUGUACCCGCGGCAAGACGGAAAGACCCCGUGAACCUUUACUAUAGCUUGACACUGAACAUUGAGCCUUGAUG
rnacentral:rRNA from 1 species